rnacentral:rRNA from 1 species
UACGUAGGGUGCGAGCGUUGUCCGGAAUUACUGGGCGUAAAGAGCUCGUAGGUGGUUUGUCGCGUCGUUUUGUGUAAGUCCACGGCUUAACUGUGGGAUGGCAGGCGAUACGGGCAUAACUUGAGUGCUGUAGGGGAGACUGGAAUUCCUGGUGUAGCGGUGAAAUGCGCAGAUAUCAGGAGGAACACCGAUGGCGAAGGCAGGUCUCUGGGCAGUAACUGACGCUGAGGAGCGAAAGCAUGGGUAGCGAACAGGAUUAGAACCUACCGUAGUCAG